GAAUAAGAUGUUAAGUUGGCCAGUUAUCCUGGGAGGUUUCAUUUCAUGGGCAUAUAUCAGCAUUAACUGUGCCAACAUUUCAAUCCAUCCUUACAGGGCUCCAGUUGUGUGUAGAGGGUAAGGGUGCCCCAACAAGUAACACACUGUCCCCAAAGGGGCCAUGUGUUCAGUUGGGCACAUAAGGCAUGCAUAUGUUUAUGACUGGCUGACCGACGAGGCUGUGUGUCAUAAGGACCCAAUGAGUCUACAAAGGCUAGAAGAAUUCCAGGGAGGGAGGCCAUCGAAGGCCCCAGUGGCCAGAGAAGGCUGAAAGGGGAGGCUGAGCUGUGGCCUGAAGGACAGGUGGAGUCAAACAAGUAAAAACAAGGAGAAAUUUCCAGAUGGGUAGGCAUGAGAUAGGGACACCUGUGAGAAAGGAAGCUGUCGAGGCAGAAACAGGAGUGGUCCACAGUUGUCAUUACCCAGUGGUCAGUGAAGGAAGGAAGGCAAGAGUGGCGGAACACCGCUGGAGAAACAGAUAACUACAUGUGGCAUGUUAACUCCUGUCAAAGACAUGUUCACUGAAGACUCUCCUGAGCUUUUCCAGGAUGUAUGUCCAGGAGAUCCUGUUGGCACAUCCAAACAUUUCCCCUUGUGACUGCACAUAAGCAUGGUCACCUGACAGGGAUCAGGCCCACUCUCCUUUAGAGGGUGGAAUCCCACUGAACUGAGACUUCCUUUCAACAGUCCCCAUCCCACUUCUGCAACACUAUUUGGGCCAGUGGUGUCCAGAGGGGGAAGCCAUCUUUCUUUCCAUCAAGAGACACAAUACACCAGAAGUCUAGAGCAUACCACCUGUCAUGUAUUGGACAAUAAACUAUUGCUUGUGUUAAUUUUCAGUAUUUCAAGAUGUAGAAUACUUGCUUUGAGAACAAAACAUAAUAAUAAUUGUAAAGUCUAAUAAAAAUGUUUCUAAGUGGGA
rnacentral:lncRNA from 1 species